rnacentral:rRNA from 1 species
UACGUAGGGUCCGAGCGUUGUCCGGAAUUACUGGGCGUAAAGAGCUCGUAGGUGGUUUGUCGCGUUGUUCGUGAAAACUCACAGCUUAACUGUGGGCGUGCGGGCGAUACGGGCAGACUUGAGUACUGCAGGGGAGACUGGAAUUCCUGGUGUAGCGGUGGAAUGCGCAGAUAUCAGGAGGAACACCGGUGGCGAAGGCGGGUCUCUGGGCCGAUAUUGACGCUGAUGCACGAAAAGCUAGGGGGAGCAAACAGG